rnacentral:ncRNA from 2 species
CUCUUAUUCAGAGUGGUGGAGAUACAUAGGAUCUGUGAAGCCACGGCAACCCCGUUUUUUCGGAAGGUGCCAGCCUGAGCGAGUAGAAGUCCCAUUUCCGGGACGGAAGCAAUCGAACAAUAAGAG